UUCUACCUUGAAAUUUCUCAACCUGGCAUUUAUGUGUACGUGCGCACAGCGAUUCAUAUCAAAGCCGGUUUCAACUUUCAAGUAGAAUACGCCAACAUACCUAUUACCUUUGUGCCGAUAAGUGUACAUGGUUUCGAAGACCUGGACGAAUACUAAUUCUUAUCACGGGAACUUCGCCUUCGCAUUCGCGUGAUGAGACAAAUUGUCAGCGCAAGACAUUAUAUACCGAACAUAUACAAUCGACGACGCUUUCGCGUCGCCGCCAUUAGUAUACGCUCAUACACUGUGCUCCAAAUGUAUAUUCGUGACACGCAGUCGAUAGUGCAGUUAUGAACAAACCAAACGACAGUACAUAAAUAUGUAUAAUAUCGGCUGAUCGAGGGCACUUAGAGCUGCGAAAUCGAGUAUUUAAUUCGAUUGAAAAUUCUACCGUCAUUCUUUUAUCCCAGAAGUUUGUAAGAAACCGAUGAAAACCGAUCGUUUAGACAACGAAAAAUUGCGUUCCCGGUCGCCGUACUGCCCGAACUGCCAACGACUGCAGCAGACGGAUCGCCCGGGGAUUGUUUUCGCUUUUAGCCGAUCGCUCGAGAACACAUAUCGCUGUGAUCCAAGCCGCAUACGAACGUCGCAAACGGUAAUCGGCCUUUUUGCAUCCCUGCAAGUGAGUGCGGCUAUGCGAGCAACAGAUUCGGAACAUGUUUGCACAGUUCGUGAAAAAAUCUCGCCGGAUCGAUUGAACCAGCGGCGCCGAACUUGUAAAACUGUACUCGAACCGAAUAAAAAUACAACGGCCACAAGCCUUAAUUUUUACUUUGCAUAGAAAAAUAAUUUUUGAUCUCAAAUCACAAGUAUUGACCA